GCAUAAUGACACCGUAACUUCGGGAUAAGGUGUGCCGACGGUAGGUGAUGUGCCUGCGCACAAAGCCCAAGUCGGUUGCAGUGAAACGGGGGUAGCGACUGUUUACCAAAAACACAGCACUCUGCAAACUCGUAAGAGGAUGUAUAGGGUGUGAUGCCUGCCCGGUGCCGGAAGGUUAAGAGGAGGAGUCAGCCGCAAGGCAAAGCCCCGAAUCGAAGCCCCGGUAAACGGCGGCCGUAACUAUAACGGUCCUAAGGUAGCGAAAUUCCUUGUCGGGUAAGUUCCGACCUGCACGAAUGGCAUAACGACUUCCCCACUGUCUCGGAGAGGCCCUCAGCGAAGUAGCACUAGGGGUGAAGAUACCCUUUACCCGCGGCAGGACGGAAAGACCCCGUGAACCUUUACUGUAACUUGGCACUGAUUUUCGGGUUAGCUUGCGUAGGAUAGGUGGGAGGCUAUGAAGCCGGGAUUCCGGUCUCGGCAGAGCCAACCUUGAAAUACCACCCUGGCUAACCUAAAAAUCUAACUCGCUUCCGUAAUCCGGAAGGAGGACAAUGCCUGGUGGGCAGUUUGACCGGGGCGGUCGCCUCCCAAAAAGUAACGGAGGCGCGCGAAGGUUCCCUCAGCCUGAUUGGAAACCAGGCGCAGAGUGUAAUGGCAUAAGGGAGCUUGACCGCGAGACAAACAAGUCGAGCAGGUGCGAAAGCAGGUCAUAGUGAUCCGGUGGUCCUGUAUGGAAAGGCCAUCGCUCAACGGAUAAAAGGUACUCCGGGGAUAACAGGCUUAUCACGCCCAAGAGUUCACAUCGACGGCGUGGUUUGGCACCUCGAUGUCGGCUCAUCGCAUCCUGGGGCUGAAGUAGGUCCCAAGGGUUCGGCUGUUCGCCUAUUAAAGCGGUACGCGAGCUGGGUUCAAAACGUCGUGAGACAGUUUGGUCCCUAUCCGCCGUGGGCGCAGGAGACUUGAGAGGAGCUAACCUUAGUACGAGAGGACCGGGUUGGACUGACCUCUAGUGUUCCGGUUGUGGCACCAGCCGCAUCGCCGGGUAGCUACGUCGGGAAUGGAUAACCGCUGAAAGCAUCUAAGCGGGAAGCCAACCUCAAGAUUAGGUCUCCCAGGUCGUAAGACCCUAAAGGCCCCUCGUAGACCACGAGGUAAUAGGCUGGGUGUGGAAGCGUAGUAAUACGUGAAGCUGACCAGUACUAAUCGGCCGUGCGGCUUGACCAC
rnacentral:rRNA from 1 species